rnacentral:rRNA from 1 species
UACGGAGGGUGCAAGCGUUGUUCGGAUUUACUGGGCGUAAAGGGCGCGUAGGCGGCCACGACAAGUCACUUGUGAAAUCUCCGGGCUUAACUCGGAACGGUCAAGUGAUACUGUCGGGCUAGAGUACAGAAGGGGCAACUGGAAUUCUCGGUGUAGCGGUGAAAUGCGUAGAUAUCGAGAGGAACACCUGCGGCGAAGGCGGGUUGCUGGGCUGAUACUGACGCUGAUGCGCGAAAGCCAGGGGAGCGAACGGG